AAUUGCAGAAUCCCGUGAACCAUCGAGUUUUUGAACGCAAGUUGCGCCCGAAGCCACUAGGCCGAGGGCACAUCUGCCUGGGCGUCACGCAUCGUCGCCACCCUCCUAGCAUACGUGCCUUGCGUGGGUGGCGGAAAUUGGCCUCCCGUGUCAAGCCCAAGCGGCGACGCGGUUGGCCUAAAUCUGAUCCUACACUCGGGAGAGUCACGACAAGUGGUGGUUGAAACCCUCAACUCGAUCGAAGUCGUGGCCGCAACGCGUAAAGGAUAUUAAACGACCCUGGAGCCUAAGGGCCCCUCGACUAUGACCCCAGGUCAGGUGG
rnacentral:rRNA from 1 species